rnacentral:rRNA from 1 species
UACGGAGGAUCCGAGCGUUAUCCGGAUUUAUUGGGUUUAAAGGGUGCGCAGGCGGGAGAUUAAGUCGGCGGUGAAAUUUUGCAGCUCAACUGUAAAAGUGCCUUCGAAACUGGUUUCCUUGAGUGUAGAUGAAGUAGGCGGAAUUUGUGGUGUAGCGGUGAAAUGCAUAGAUAUCACGAGGAACUCCGAUUGCGAAGGCAGCUUACUAAGCUACUACUGACGCUCAGGCACGAAGGCGUGGGGAUCAAACAGGAUUAGAUAUCCCGGUAGU